UCCUUCUAGUUCCACCACGCUGAGGAGGUCUCACCACAGGACAGGUGUCCCCUCUGAGGAGGUCUCACCACAGGACAGGUGUCCACGCUGAGGAGGUCUCACCACAGGACAGGUGUCCCCUCUGAGGAGGUCUCACCACAGGACACGGUGUCCCCUCUGAGGAGGUCUCACCACAGGACACGGUGUCCCCUCUGAGGAGGUCUCACCACAGGACAGGUGUCCACGCUGAGGAGGUCUCACCACAGGACAGGUGUCCACGCUGAAGAGGUCUCACCACAGGACACGGUGUCCCCGCUGAAGAGGUCUCACCACAGGACAGGUGUCCACGCUGAGGAGGUCUCACCACAGGACACGGUGUCCCCUCUGAGGAGGUCUCACCACAGGACAGGUGUCCACGCUGAGGAGGUCCACCGGAGGACAAUAUCAUUACAAAAAUAUGUACAAAUAUUCCGCCAAACGAUACGCGUGUAUAGUACACGGUGUACAUAUGCGUGUACGUGUAAAGUACACAGUGUACAUACGCGUGUACGUGUAUAGUACACGGUGUACAUAUGCGUGUACGUGUAAAGUACACAGUGUACAUAUGCGUGUAUAACCCUACACACACAUAUACAUCUAUAUACGUAUAAAUGUGUGAGAUUUUAUAACUGAUGCGAAAUAUAUAAAUAUAUUUUAUCAAAGAUUCCUAAUAAACGGUGAUUGUUAUAUUGAUCUGUAAUCAAUACGUUUUAUUAAAUCCGUCAUUUUAAUCUGAGAUUUUUCCCUUCUGAGAACAACCAUUAAUAUUGUUAUUUUACCACUUGUAUUUUUGACCUGAUCUCAUGGUUUCUGUCUCCCGACUUUGGAACCAAAGUCUUUUACUCCUUAAACAUUUGAAAAGCUAAAUAUCAGUUUAGUUUCCUUUUAAUGUCCCGGUGGUUCGUUCCUCUGUAAAGUGUAAAGUGUCUUUCAUGAAGCUUCUUUGUAAAAGCAGUGAAGCCCCUUUGUUCCUUUACGUCAUUUAAAG
ensembl:lncRNA